rnacentral:lncRNA from 1 species
UACGAAAUCGCGCGUACUGCAGUUUAUUACUUUAGAUUACCAAAUAUACAAACCCAACUAUCUUACGAGCAUUCGCACACUCGCAAAUUCCUAAAAUACUGACUUUUCGGCAUUUCGGCUUUUCGGCUUUUGCCAAUCUAGUCUAUGAGAGGGUGUCAGUUACACACCUGUUUGCGACGAUAUGCUGACGAGAUCCACACACGAACCGCCUACAAUUGGAUUACUAACACGUUAAUCUAACUAUUCAAAUACAAACUACGUAUUAACCCCUUACAAUAUUCGACCAACCACACCUACAGAUCAUAGUAAGCUUAUAAGAAAUCAAUAAGCAACUCAUUAACAAAUUUUUGUCAAUGUUUACCACAUAAUCAUAAUUUCACUGCAAGCUGUCUUCCUGAGCAACAGUCACUAAAUUAUUUAUAACUGGAGCUACGAAACUCCAAAUCAAGUGCCGUUAAUUUUCCCUAAAAAUAGACUCAUAUAUCUUUUAUCCAUAAAAUUUUCAGAAUUUUUGGUAUGGCCAAUCAAUACCAGAUUUUUCUUAAAGUUUCCCAUGUUUCACUGUUUGACUAAUCUGACCACUCUUCAUUACGUAUCAAAUUUCUCAUUUUACAGAAUUCAAAAUAUGUUCUUGUUUAUUUCAUUAGAAACUAGACUCAAUAAGAUUUAAUUACAUAAUUUAUUCAGCUUCUAAUUCAUCUCCCACAAUUUAUGGUGAUUUUCCAAAGUCACGUUACUACUGCUGUCCCAAGCAGAUUUAUUACUAAAUCACUCUUUCACACAUACCUUGCAUGCAUGUUAUUUAAACAUGUAUAUCACCAAUGAAUCAUCACAUAUCUAUGAUUUUACUUAAGUAUAAUCUCCAUUUCAUCAUUUUAGCGCACAACAUGUUAGCUGAUUUUUCCCUUUAACAUCUAAGGCACAUGCAUUCUCAUUUGUUUGGCUCAACUUCACCUAUCUUCCAUUUUUCAUCAAAAGAACAUGAAACAACAACCAUUUCCUUCAUUUUAAUUCAUGACUAAAUGCUCACAACACAACUAAAAAUCAAAAUAUACUUCAAGAGUUAAGGUAGAAUCAAGAAGAACUUAUGAACCUCAAAAUAGAAGCAAGGUACCAAGAACUUACCUUCAAUUUUCC